rnacentral:rRNA from 1 species
GGGUUGUGAGGUUAAGCGACUAAGCGUACACGGUGGAUGCCCUGGCAGUCAGAGGCGAUGAAGGGCGUGCUAAUCUGCGAUAAGCGCCGGUAAGGUGAUAUGAACCGUUAUAACCGGCGAUACCCGAAUGGGGAAACCCAGUGUGAUUCGUCACACUAUCAUUACGUGAAUACAUAGCGUAAUGAAGCGAACCGGGGGAACUGAAACAUCUAAGUACCCCGAGGAAAAGAAAUCAACCGAGAUUCCCCCAGUAGCGGCGAGCGAACGGGGAGGAGCCCAGAGCCUGAAUCAGCAUGUGUGUUAGUGGAAGCGUCUGGAAAGGCGCGCGAUACAGGGUGACAGCCCCGUACACAAAAGCGCAUGUGUUGUGAGCUCGAUGAGUAGGGCGGGACACGUGGUAUCCUGUCUGAAUAUGGGGGGACCAUCCUCCAAGGCUAAAUACUCCUGACUGACCGAUAGUGAACCAGUACCGUGAGGGAAAGGCGAAAAGAACCCCGGCGAGGGGAGUGAAAAAGAACCUGAAACCGUGUACGUACAAGCAGUGGGAGCACCCUUCGGGGUGUGACUGCGUACCUUUUGUAUAAUGGGUCAGCGACUUAUAUUCUGUAGCAAGGUUAACCGAAUAGGGGAGCCGGAGGGAAACCGAGUCUUAA